rnacentral:rRNA from 1 species
AUUGAACGCUGGCGGCGUGCUUUACACAUGCAAGUCGAACGGUAACAGGGUGCUUGCACCGCUGACGAGUGGCGAACGGGUGAGUAAUGCGUCGGAACGUGCCGAGUAGUGGGGGAUAACGCAGCGAAAGUUGUGCUAAUACCGCAUACGUACUGAGGUAGAAAGUGGGGGACCUUCGGGCCUCACGCUAUUCGAGCGGCCGACGUCUGAUUAGCUAGUAGGUGAGGUAAAGGCUCACCUAGGCGACGAUCAGUAGCGGGUCUGAGAGGAUGAUCCGCCACACUGGGACUGAGACACGGCCCAGACUCCUACGGGAGGCAGCAGUGGGGAAUUUUGGACAAUGGGCGAAAGCCUGAUCCAGCUAUGCCGCGUGUCUGAAGAAGGCCUUCGGGUUGUAAAGGACUUUUGUCAGGGAGGAAAUCCCUAGUGCUAAUAACACUGGGGGAUGACAGUACCUGAAGAAUAAGCACCGGCUAACUACGUGCCAGCCGCCGCAGUAAGAC